rnacentral:rRNA from 1 species
AUACGGAGGUUGCAAGCGUUGUUCGGAAUGACUGGGCGUAAAGGGAGCGCAGGCGGCCUUUUAAGUCCGGCGUGAAAGCCCGGGGCUCAACCCCGGCGGGUCGCCGGAUACUGGGAGGCUCGAGUACGGAAGAGGCGAGUGGAAUUCCGGGUGUAGCGGUGAAAUGCGUAGAUAUCCGGAGGAACACCGGUGGCGAAAGCGGCUCGCUGGUCCGAUACUGACGCUCAGGCUCGAAAGCGUGGGGAGCAAACGGGAUUAGAUACCCCGGUAGUCCACGCCGUAAACGUUGUGCGCUAGGUGUGGGCGGUAUCGACCCCGCCCGUGCCGCAGCUAACGCAUUAAGCGCACCGCCUGGGGAGUACGCCCGCAAGGGUGAA